AGACGGCGAGACACAAGCGAGACACCAGCGACCGAAGCGCGAAAGUACCACUGUCUCGACUCUCUCUGUGCUCUGAGGGUGCUCUCUCUCUCUCUCUCUCUCGCUCUGAGCGCGCCGCCCACGCACACGCGAAAUGGCUUUGGGGC
rnacentral:SRP_RNA from 1 species